rnacentral:rRNA from 1 species
AUUGAACGCUGGCGGCAGGCCUAACACAUGCAAGUCGAGCGAGCGGCGGACGGGUGAGUAAGGUCUGGGAAACUGCCUGAUGGAGGGGGAUAACUACUGGAAACGGUAGCUAAUACCGCAUACCAUCAGAUAUGCCCAGAUGGGAUUAGCUAGUAGGUGGGGGAACGGCUCACCUAGGCGACGAUCCCUAGCUGGUCUGAGAGGAGGACCAGUCACACUGAAACUGAGACACGGUCCAGACUCCUAAGGGAGGAGUCAGUGGGGAAUAUUGAACAAUGGGCGCAUGCCGGAUGCAGCCAUGCCGGGGGUGUGAAGAAGGCCUUCGGGUUGUAAAGCACUGUCAGCGGGGAGGCGUUACCUGCAGAAGAAGCACCGGCUAACUCCGUGCCAGCAGCCGCGGUAAUAC